AACGAACGCUGGCGGCAUGCCUAACACAUGCAAGUCGAACGAGAUCUUCGGGUCUAGUGGCGCACGGGUGCGUAACGCGUGGGAAUCUGCCCUUUGGUUCGGAAUAACAGUUGGAAACGACUGCUAAUACCGGAUGAUGACGAAAGUCCAAAGAUUUAUCGCCAGAGAAUGAGCCCGCGUAGGAUUAGCGAGUUGGUGUGGUAAAGGCGCACCAAGGCGACGAUCCUUAGCUGGUCUGAGAGGAUGAUCAGCCACACUGGGACUGAGACACGGCCCAGACUCCUACGGGAGGCAGCAGUGGGGAAUAUUGGACAAUGGGCGAAAGCCUGAUCCAGCAAUGCCGCGUGAGUGAUGAAGGCCUUAGGGUUGUAAAGCUCUUUUACCCGGGAUGAUAAUGACAGUACCGGGAGAAUGAGCUCCGGCUAACUCCGUGCCAGCCGCCGCAGUAA
rnacentral:rRNA from 1 species